UCGUGCUUUCGGUUUCGACGACUCAGUUCCACAACCCCACAAAAUUACAUUUUACAUUUUAAUUUUAUUUCGAUAUAAAUUUUGAUACAAUUCGACGCCAUUUUAAGGACAUUUAUAGAUAGAUUAACAUCACAACUGGUUGCCUAUAGUAAAUUUCAGCAGAAAAAUGAAUACAUUUGUGUGUUUAUGGUUUUUGACCGGUGCGUAUGUGGUUUUGAUUGAUAAACAGCGCGAAGUGACUUAAAUAUGGCUGAAAUAGCAGCGAGGACGUUGAGCCUGCGUGUGUUUGUCCUUGAACUUGAACUGUCGAUGCGCGACGGACUCUCUGCGGCGGUCGCCGUGUCAUUGGCACGAGCAGAAGAGUUCGCCAUGUGCUGCGGCACGCCGCCGCGCAGAAAGUGCAUAAAGUCCAAGUGCAUUGAGUGCAUCGAGUGCAUCGAGUCGAGGGCAUUCCACUUUUACACUGCGCAUGAAAUAUUUAACGUCUUGAACCUUGCGUGUAAAGUGUAACUAGUUCAAUGCUCGUUCAUUGCACCACAUCGACAUGUGGCACGAGUUCAAGCUGAGUCAAGUUGACUCUCUACUUGAGUCAAGUUGGCAGGAGUAGAAUUAACUGACUUAAGUCACGUUUAAAUCACGCUUGAACUUCACUGAAUUUAGUUUUUACUAAAUUUACAUUAAUUAAUUGAUAUUUUAUUUAGUUAUUCAUUUUUUACAAUAAAAAGUAAUAAAUAAGUUAGUUUAUAUUAAGUUAGGUUAGUUUUACUUAUAAUUUAAACGUUAAAUGAAAGUGUAAACAUAAAAAAAAAGAAAAAGUUUUGCUAAACGAAAGUGAAUCGAAUGUUAAACUAACGACUAACAAACCACUAAUAUGAGUAUCAAGUUGCAUACCAUUGAAAACCGCACACCGAAAAUAAAUGCAUGCAUAAAUUAAACCACCAACACAAAAUGGCGGCCAUUUUAUGCUCCACUUUUUCUCUCGUUUAUUUUCACAGUCAAAAAUGAAAUAAUUUUCUAUGGCUUUUGUUUUCAUUUAAGUAAAUAUAACUUUCUUUUGAAA